UACGGAGGGUGCGAGCGUUGCCCGGAUUUAUUGGGCGUAAAGGGUGCGUAGGUGGUCGUUUAAGUCCGUUGUGAAAUCCCUGGGCUCAACCUGGGAAUGGCAGUGGAUACUGGACGGCUAGAAUGCGGUAGAGGGUAGUGGAAUUCCCGGUGUAGCAGUGAAAUGCGUAGAUAUCGGGAGGAACACCUGUGGCGAAAGCGGCUCACUGGACCACAACUGACGCUGAGGCGCGAAAGCUAGGGGAGCAAACAGG
rnacentral:rRNA from 1 species